GUGCACAUUUCAUUGUCUUUUUUCUUCGCCUCAAGAAAAAAGGUAUUUCUGAUGUGCUAAAUAAACUUGGAGGUCAAUUAGCAGCAUGGCAUGUUAGCCACUGCUGUCAGUCACCUUCAGACAAAU